AAGCUUCGGUGGAAAUAGCUUGUUCCUAGUGGCGGACGGGUGAGUAACGCGUGGGUAACCUGCCUCACACUGGGGGAUAACAGUCAGAAAUGACUGCUAAUACCGCAUAAGCGCACGGGAUUGCAUGAUCCAGUGUGAAAAACUCCGGUGGUGUGAGAUGGACCCGCGUUGGAUUAGCCAGUUGGCAGGGUAACGGCCUACCAAAGCGACGAUCCAUAGCCGGCCUGAGAGGGUGGACGGCCACAUUGGGACUGAGACACGGCCCAGACUCC
rnacentral:rRNA from 1 species